rnacentral:rRNA from 1 species
CAAGUCGAGCGCCCCGCAAGGGGAGCGGCGGACGGGUGAGUAACACGUAAAGAAUCUGCCCUGAAGCGGGGAAUAACUAUCCCAACGGAUAGCUAAUACCGCAUAAUGAUGGAGGAGGCAUCUCCUUUUCUCAAAAGGCUUCGGCCACUUCAGGAUGACUUUGCGUCCCAUUAGCUUGUUGGCGGGGUAACGGCCCACCAAGGCUACGAUGGGUAUCCGGCCUGAGAGGGUGUACGGACACAUUGGGACUGAGAUACGGCCCAGACUCCUACGGGAGGCAGCAGUAGGGAAUUUUGCGCAAUGGGGGAAACCCUGACGCAGCAACGCCAUGUGUGGGAUGAAGCAUUUCGGUGUGUAAACCACUGUCAGCGGGGAAUAAACGGCAGCUUCGGGCUGCUUUGAAUGUACCCGCAAAGGAAGCCCCGGCUAACUUCGUGCCAGCAGCCGCGGUAAUACGAGGGGGGCAAAUGUUGUUCGGAAUCACUGGGCGUAAAGGGAGCGUAGGCGGGUUCUUAAGUUAGGUGUUUAAUCCCGGGGCCCAACCCCGGACCGGCACUUAAAACUGGGAAUCUUGAAUAGUGGAGAGGUCGGUGGAAUUGGGGGUGUAGCGGUGGAAUGCGUAGAGAUCCCCAAGAACACCAGUUGCGAAGGCGGCCGACUGGACACAUAUUGACGCUGAGGCUCGAAAGCAUGGGGAGCAAACAGGAUUAGAUACCCUGGUAGUCCAUGCCAUAAACGAUGAAUACUAGGUUUUGGGCCCGUCAAACGGUCCAGAGCCGCAGCUAACGCGUU